GUGACGUACGGUGCCAUGCCUGUAUGUACGUAUGCUACUAGUAUAUCCCCUCGUCGCGAGGGAAUAAGGAAGGAGUGUCUGCAACAGAAGGAUUGGUAAAUUCGGCCCAUUAUGAUUAGCUUUGAUUAUCCGUAACAGACCCGGUGUGUUUACAAAACCUCAUUGAUGUAUGGAUGCACACACUUAGAGUCGUGUUCUCAAUAAUGGGCCUAUAGAGAACACUGCUUGACAGUUGUCAUAUCACACGACGAUAUCCCACACCAUCUAAUGAAGUUAUCACCGCCAAACCUGACUACAGUAUGACCUAUAAGAAAUCAGUUUUGAUUUGAUUGAACGACAACGUGUCAAACCAAAGCGAAAGAAAGCAGCUGUGCCUAGUGUCGACCAACCUGCAACGCGAACAAGACCAGUUAGCCAAUUCCACCAUAUGGAUAGCUCCAAGAUCCUGGCCUAUAUUCGGAUGGGAUUAUCCGACAUAUAAAUUGAAUACACUUCUGAAUUGUAGAAAUGACAAAACUAUAUUCAUUGUUUAUAAACUAUGUUUUAUCUGAUCCAAACAAAAACAUUUUAAAAUGGUCAAAUAAUCAUGUAUUUUUUCAAUUAUUAAUAUCCAAGGAGGAACAGCCAAUGCAGUAUCAUAAUGACAAAGAAUCAAAUUAACAAUUCAAUCGACAAUUCAACUGAAUUGAAAACAAAAUAUUCCAUAUUUCUGAAUGUAAUAUGUUAGAUUGCCUGUGAUGAUCAUAUUGACUGGUUUAGUGUAACGAAAAUCACAAUAAGCUAUUUGAGUAUUGUAAUAUUUUUACAGUAUACAACAAAAGAACACUCAUUAUUAAACUUAAAUACAUUUUGCAAAUUAGUAAUUAGCAUUACCCAAUAAAAUCAACUGAAUUGCAAACAAUAACCUGGAUCAAGAAGAAUGGAUGUUUCAAAUGUUGAGUUUGUACCAGUACUACACAGACGAAAGUUAACAGUGUUCUUAAAUAAAAAUUAAAAAGUCAGAUGACUAAGCUAAAGCUACAACAGAAGUUUCGGGUGUACUCGUGCAUAGUUUCUUUGCCACAUAAGGUUUGAAACAACAAGGUGCAUUUGGCCAGUUUUACACAUCGUCCUGUGUUGUGCAAACGAUGGACGCCAUUUGAAUGUUUUACCACAUCCACACAUUUUGUUCAUAUCACCGUGUUUACCAACAUUGUGAUCUUGCAGGGACGCUGAGGUUUUGAGUUUUUAUCCGCAUUCUUUGCAUGCAUAUAUUUUAGGGUUAUCACCGAUACAUGGUGUGUUUUCGCAUACUUGAAACAUAAUAUGCAAAAGGUUUUGAGCAUUUUGGGCAGUUGUAAGGCUUGUUUCCGAUAUGGUUAUUCAAAUGGCCGAAAUAAAGUGACUUAUCACAGUAUGUCUUAUCACAAUAUGUACACGGAUACGUGUAUGUCUUAGCAUGGUGACGCUUUGUGUGUAUAGAAAGUCCUUGUCGAGUUUUAUAGACCUUGGAACACACCUCACAUAGCAGUUUGUCAUCACCGUGCGAGAAAGUAGCAUGCUGCUUUAAAGCAAAUUUACUGGAACAUCUUCUCGAACAUUUGUCACAGAUGGUUUUUUUUCUUCUCAUGCUUAGCCUUGACAUGUUUCAAAUUACUGCCAACUGGACUUUCAAAUCAGUUUUGAUUUGAUUGAACGACAACGUGUCAAACCAAAGCGAAAGGAAACAGCUGUGCCUAGUGUCGACCAACCUGCAACGCGAACAAGACCAGUUAGCCAAUUCCACCAUAUGGAUAGCUCCAAGAUCCUGGCCUAUAUUCGGAUGGGAUUAUCCGACAUAUAAAUUGAAUACACUUCUGAAUUGUAGAAAUGACAAAACUAUAUUCAUUGUUUAUAAACUAUGUUUUAUCUGAUCCAAACAAAAACAUUUUAAAAUGGUCAAAUAAUCAUGUACUUUUUCAAUUAUUAAUAUCCAAGGAGGAACAGCAAAUGCAGUAUCAUAAUGACAAAGAGUCAAAUGAACAAUUCAAUCAACAAUUCAACUGAAUUGAAACCAAAAUAGUCCUACUAAAUAUUUCAUAUUUCUGAAUGUAAGGUGUUAGAUUGCCUGUGAUGAUCAUAUUGACUGGUUUGGUGUAACGAAAAUCACAAUAAGCUAUUUGAGUAUUGUAAUAUUUUUACAGUAUACAACAAAAGAACACUCAUUAUUAAACUUAAAUACAUUUUGCAAAUUAGUAAUUAGCAUUACCCAAUAAAAUCAACUGAAUUGCAAACAAUAACCUGGAUCAAGAAGAAUGGAUGUUUCAAAUGUUGAGUUUGUACCAGUACUACACAGUCGAAAGUUAACAGUGUUCUUAAAUAAACAUUAAAAAGUCAAAUGAUUAAGCUAAAGCUACAACAGAAGUUUCGGGUGUACUCGUGCAUAGUUUCUUUGCCACAUAAGGUUUGAAACAACAAGGUGCAUUUGGCCAACUUUACACAUCUUCCUGUGUUGUGCAAACGAUGGACGCCAUUUGAAUGUUUUACCACAUCCACACAUUUUGUUCAUAUCACCGUGUUUACCAACAUUGUGAUCUUGCAGGGACGCUGAGGUUUUGAGUUUUCAUCCGCAUUCUUUGCAUGCAUAUAUUUUAGGGUUAUCACCGAUACAUGGUGUGUUUUCGCAUACUUGAAACAUAAUAUGCAAAAGGUUUUGAGCAUUUUGGGCAGUUGUAAGGCUUGUUUCCGAUAUGGUUAUUCAAAUGGCCGAAAUAAAGUGACUUAUCACAGUAUGUCUUAUCACAAUAUGUACACGGAUACGUGUAUGUCUUAGCAUGGUGACGCUUUGUGUGUAUAGAAAGUCCUUGUCGAGUUUUAUAGACCUGGAACACACCUCACAUAGCAGUUUGUCAUCACCGUGCGAGAAAGUAGCAUGCUGCUUUAAAGCAAAUUUACUGGAAUAUCUUCUCGAACAUUUGUCACAGAUGGGUUUUUUCUUCUCAUGCUUAGCCUUGACAUGUUUCAAAUUACUGCCAACUGGACUUUCGUAAGUACAAAGAUAACUUUUGUUUCCUUUAAUACUCUCCACUAACCUUUGAUUUUUGGGUUAAUAUUAUAAACAUUUUACAGUUGUUAAUGUAAACAUUAAUAUCAGUACAGUUGUCCGAAUUGGUGAUAUAGUUUUCUUUGACAUCUGGCGAAGAAAUGUUCAUUGGUAUAUCAGUUUCAUUAAUGGUAACAGCCGAUUCAUCAAUGAAUGACCAUUCCAUAAUCAAACGAAAUCGGUAAACACGCCGUAACAGCGUUGAAAAACCGCCGUAACCUAUAAAUAGAAAUCAUCAAAACUCCGUAUCAUUUCUGUUUUGAUUUUGAAAAGAUAAACAUGCAUUUUCUGAUAUUUUAAAGCAAUGUUAUGACAAUAAAUACUAACAUAUUUAUUCUAUACACAAAAUGUAUUGCUUGUAUGAAAGUUACCGUAAACAUAGGUAGUCCUGACUUUUUUUCUUCUACGGAUCCUUUUUUUAGCAUUCAAUAUUGCAUGACACUGUAUUAAAUAGUACUUUAAACUACGCUGUACAUCGCUAUGCACUAAAUUAAACACGUGCAUAUAUGUACGAUACGUUAAAAUUAAUAUCUGAGUGGUUUGAAUAAUUAAAUAUGAAAGUUACCUUAUAAGUAUAAACAAUAUUGUGUAAAAAUCUACCGGAGCUCGUGCAAGAAACAAACAACACGCCGUAACAAAAAUCGUCAAAACUCCACUCUCGCUGUAACCGAGUACCGAUACAGUGUAUCCUAACCGCACAUGUACAGCGCGACAUAUUUAUUUGUCGCGCCGUAUACUCUCCUUCUCUCUCUCUCUCUCUCUCUCUCUCUCUCUCUCUCUCUCUCUCUCUC